GAAAUGCGAUAACUAGUGUGAAUUGCAGAAUUCAGUGAAUCAUCGAGUCUUUGAACGCAUAUUGCGCCCGUCGGUAUUCCAAAGGGCAUGCCUGUUCGAGCGUCAUUUGUACCCUCAAGCUUUGCUUGGUGUUGGGCGUUUUUUGUCUUUGGCUCGCCCAAAGACUCGCCUUAAAACGAUUGGCAGCCGGCCUACUGGUUUCGCAGCGCAGCACAUUUUUGCGCUUGCAAUCAGCAAAAGAGGACGGCAAUCCAUCAAGACUCCUUCUCACGUUUGACCUCGGAUCAGGUAGGGAUACCCGCUGAACUUAAGC
rnacentral:misc_RNA from 1 species